GUCCCCCCGCCAACGCCCCUGCCUCCUCUCCGCCGCCCCGCGCCACCCCAUCUCCGAUCCGCCGCCCCCGCGACCCUGCCUCCUCCGCCGCCGCGCCACGACCUGCUCCGCCCGAACCUGCCCGGCCAACUGCAACUCCGACCGCCACGAACUGCUCUACUUGAACCCGCCCGGUCGCCUGCAACUCCAACCGCGCCGCAAGGUCGUACUCCUCCGUCGCGGCACUCCUCAACCCCAGCACCCCUACCUCCUCCGCCGCCGCGGCACGACCUGCUCCGUACCGAUCUGCUCCGCCCGAACCUGCCCGGCCGUCUGCAACUCCGACCGCCGCGAACUGCUCCGCUUGAACCCUCCCGGUCGCCUGCAACUCCAACCGCGCCGCGAGGUCGUCCUCCCCGCCGGCUCUGACCAAGUCCCGCCGCACGCCGCGUCUCACGUCGCCGAUCCGGACCCUGGCCGCACCGGGGCUGGUGCCUUGUGGAGCGGCUGCCGCAGUGCACCAAUGCACGGCUGCGGUGUCCCAUCGGCGGAGGCAACACGGAGAGAGAGGGGGGGGGGGGUGGAGGGGGGGGGGGACGCGACUGCUAUGCCCCAUCGGCGGAGGCCGCGCAGGUGGGCGGCGGAGGGGCACCUACAAAAAAUGGAGUGGGGGGCGAUCUUGAAGCGUGGAUUAUUUUUGGGCAGUAGGAUAAGCCCAUUGUGGGUUGGCGCUCAGUUGUGGGCUCCUCUUCCCAAAAGGCGCUUAGCAAGAUCGCUUGCAAUCGGCUGAAGAAGGAACUCAACGAGUGGCAGCUCAGUUCCCCUGCCGGUUUCAAACACAAGCUCUCCGUCUAGGUAGCAUGAUGAAUCGAAGACCAUGAUAGCGAGGUGCCAUCCCCGUGCUGGGCAAGGAGGUCGUUACAAGGGCUCGCGUUUCUAGGAGCGAUCUGGUUCUGCCAAUCCUUCAACGACCACCUGCUGGAUCGAGCGCCGAUUGCUGUAGCUACAAGUUGAAUGUGUCCCAUGACGUCACCAGGUCCGCCAUGCCCCUUGUGUCUCUAUACAUGACAGGAAAUGUGCUUCACAAGACAUCCAUCAAGCUAAGUUUCCGUGCUACUGUUGGACCACAGGACAAUAGAAGUUGAGUUGUCAACUCUUUUUGCAUUUGAGGAAGAAGUGAUUAAACCAGCUAAUUAGCAAAAAUACUUCAUGGGUUAUGUAACUCAGAGGCUGCUGUUUAUUUGUGUGGCCCAUUCUGAUUCUGCUUCGUUUCUAUCUUAGCUUGGUGUUUGCAUUGUGGGUGCAGACUAAGCUCAUCAAGUAGUGGGAUUCAACUAUAACUUAGAUAAAAAGAUAAUAUCUAUUUUUUUUUAUCUGAGACGAUCUUAUAGGCUGCAUGUGGGAUUGAGACUCAGAAGAGUAUGUAAUCACGAAUAAAAAACACAGUCAAGGAUGUUUUAGGCUUUGCUUGGAGCUCUAGAAACCAUCUAUCUUUGUCGAUAGUAUGUUUAUUUGGUUAUUAUGGUUCAGGAACUGAAA